UUUCCGUAGGUGAACCUGCGGAAGGAUCAUUAAUGUAUAAUGGAGGAUCGAGGGCUGUUGCAGACAUGACAGGUUGUGCAGGCACGAGAGCUCUCAUACACAUCUAUAUCACCCCUAUGUGAAACAUCGCGUGGGUCCCAACUUGGCGUGUUCGGAGGGGGGUUUACGAAUUAACACAAAAUACGACUGCAGUGUAGAAUGUAUUUUUUGCUUUUGCGAAUACGUAAUCAAUCAAACUUGAAAAAACGGAUCUCUAGGCCCUGGCAUUGAUGAAGAACG
rnacentral:misc_RNA from 1 species